AUGUGUAUGCAACGUCCUGUGCAUAGCAUGUGGCCAGUCAAAUUAAAUAAAGGGCUAAAUUUGUGCACCUUUCCAGAAACAUUUAGGAGACAAGAGAAUUUGUAUUGGACUUAACGCUCUUUCUUUUGGUUUAUUUUUGGGACAUCGUGUGAGAGGCUCCGCAACAGGAAGUGGCGAGCGGUGACGUCGGAAACUGUUAGCAAGGCCUUACUGUAGCUGGGCGUGGUCCUGGAGUUCAGUGUUGAGGGUCUCUGGCAGCAGCAGAGACAGGCCCACCGCACUUGAUGCCACGAUGCCGUACACUAGCAUGGGGAGGCUGUGGUGGUACAUGCUCAGGAGUUUUAUCAGGGGGGCCAGGAUGCCGCCCAGCCGGGAACACAUGUUGUUGAGGCCCAUGCCACUCUGCCUGCCCACACGCAAACAGCAAGCAUGACGUAGUGUGGAUUUGUUUUUGUUUUUUUUUUUUGAAUUUUUGUUCGUCAUGUUUUUACAUCUGAUAUGAGAAUGUCUUUUGGCGUCAUUACUAUAAUCACGGUUGAUGCUAGGUCGCAAUUGAUAUUGAUUUGUUUGAGGCCUGUGCUAAUUCUGAUGUGUAUCAGAACAAGAUUCCGAUAACUCCAAAAUGUCAUAGAUAGAUAUAUAAUGUAUUCUUGAGUCCCUAACACUUAAAAAAAUAUAUAAAAAUGAGUGACAGGGGGAUACAGUUUUCUGAUCCGUCAUCCUUGAUUAUUUGUUUAUCUUCAGAGAAAAAAAAGAAUGGCAUUUGUAAUUUGGUGUGUACUAUACAGCUUGAGCGAUAGAAAGAAUUGCCCCAAAAUCCUAGAACUGCACGUAUUUCAAAUGGACCUUACCUUAGCGUGGUGGGGUACAGCUCUGCUGUAUAAAUGAACAGGAUGCCCAUGGAAACACCGGAUGUAAAUCUCCCAAACACAGAUAUGACCGUCAUGACAACAGGAAGCUCUGAAAAGACGAUGCAUUCUGUCAUUGUGAUGAAAUGUGUGGCAUUCCUUUUAUACUUAUUUAGAUGUUUGUGCGUGCACAUCCAAUUUCAGCCUGAUUACGGUAGAAUGCUGCUUGUUUUGUUGUGUGUACAUUGGCCAUCAGGGGGCAGUAUAAUGCAUAGGGUACACCGAUUUUAAUUUCUCUGAACCAAUGAGCAUACAAAAUUGCCCCCCCUCACCCCCCACGGUUUUGUUUUUAAUUAAUGAGAUACCAAUUAAAGCAUGUCUCAUCAAAUUUUCAGUUUUUUU